rnacentral:tRNA from 1 species
CGAAACUGUAGUUUAAUUAAAAUAUUAGCAUUGGGAGCUAGUGAUUAGGUGACAAUCCUACGUUUCGA